rnacentral:rRNA from 1 species
GACGAACGCUGGCGGCGUGCCUAAUACAUGCAAGUCGAGCGGACUUUCAAGAAGCUUGCUUUUUGAAAGUUAGCGGCGGACGGGUGAGUAACACGUGGGCAACCUGCCUGCAAGACGGGGAUAACUCCGGGAAACCGGGGCUAAUACCGGAUAAUAUCUUCCUUCGCAUGAAGGAAGGUUGAAAGGCGGCGCAAGCUGCCGCUUGCAGAUGGGCCCGCGGCGCAUUAGCUAGUUGGUGAGGUAACGGCUCACCAAGGCGACGAUGCGUAGCCGACCUGAGGGGGUGAGCGGCCACACUGGGACGGAGACACGGCCCAGACUCCUACGGGAGGCAGCAGUAGGGAAUCUUCCGCAAUGGACGAAAGUCUGACGGAGCAACGCCGCGUGAGCGAAGAAGGUCUUCGGAUCGUAAAGCUCUGUUGUCAGGGAAGAACAAGUACCGUUCGAACAGGGCGGUACCUUGACGGUACCUGACCAGAAAGCCACGGCUAACUACGUG